rnacentral:misc_RNA from 1 species
AUACCUUGAUUAGUUGAAGUUGUUUGGAACCUUAAACAGUUGAUUGUCCAGGUUCCUGAACAGAAUAGUUAAUAUAUUUGGUACCACCUUUAUAUAGUCAUCAAGCAUCCCUUUUUGUCUUUCAGUUAGUAGAUGCCAGAUAGCUACUACCGACCAAAUAAGGCGACUUCCAUUUUCAUUAACCACGACUAAAUAAUUCUUCUAACAAAAAUUGCACAACCUAAAUAUUCCAUCCAUAUAGCUGUAGAAGCUAUGAGCACCAAAG